rnacentral:rRNA from 1 species
GACGGAGGAUGCAAGCGUUAUCCGGAAUUAUUGGGCGUAAAGCGUCCGUAGGUGGUUAUACAAGUCUGUUGUUAAAGGCCGCAGCUCAACUGUGGAUUGGCGAUGGAAACUGUAUGACUUGAGUGUGGUAGGGGUAGAGGGAAUUCCUAGUGUAGCGGUGAAAUGCGUAGAUAUUAGGAAGAACACCAGUGGCGAAGGCGCUCUACUGGGCCAUAACUGACACUGAUGGACGAAAGCUAGGGGAGCGAAAGGG